AGCGGGGUGAUCUACCCAUGGCCAGUGUGAAGCAGCAGUAAGAUGCUGUGGAGGCGCGAACCCACGUAGGUUGAAAACUGCGGGGAUGAGCUGUGGGUAGGGGUGAAAGGCCAAUCAAACUCCGUGAUAGCUGGUUCUCCCCGAAAUGCAUUUAGGUGCAGCGUCGCAUUAGCUUGGUGGAGGUAGAGCUACUGGUUGGUUGAGCGGGACUACAAUCUUAGCAAUGUCAGCCAAACUCCGAAUGCCAUUAAUGUGUUGUGCGGCAGUGAGACUGUGGGGGAUAAGCUUCAUAGUCGAGAGGGAAACAGCCCAGAUCGCCGGUUAAGGCCCCUAAGGGUGUGCUAAGUGGAAAAGGAUGUGGGAUCGCGAAGACAGCCAGGAGGUUGGCUUAGAAGCAGCCAUCCUUGAAAGAGUGCGUAAUAGCUCACUGGUCGAGUGGUUCUGCGCCGACAAUGUAGUGGGGCUCAAGCACACCGCCGAAGCCGCGGCAAUAAUAUUUUGUUAUUGGGUAGGGGAGCGUCGUGCACGUGUUGAAGCGUUACCGUGAGGAGGCGUGGAGUGUGUGCGAGUGAGAAUGCAGGCAUGAGUAACGAAUUGGAAGGU
rnacentral:rRNA from 1 species